AGUUGGUCCGCUAGUAGUGGGUUAUCACUAUGUCUUGCUCUCCCACCCACCACUGCCAUUGACUAGCUAUCA
rnacentral:Y_RNA from 1 species